rnacentral:rRNA from 1 species
UGCCAGCCGCCGCGGUAAUACGGAGGGUGCAAGCGUUGCUCGGAAUUACUGGGCGUAAAGCGCACGCAGGCGGUUUAUCAGGUCGGAUGUGAAAGCCCAGGGCUCAACCCUGGAACUGCAUUCGAAACCGGUAGACUUGAGUUCGAGAGAGGGUGGUGGAAUUCCUGGUGUAGAGGUGAAAUUCGUUGAUAUCAGGAGGAACACCGGUGGCGAAGGCGACCACCUGGCUCGAUACUGACGCUCAUGUGCGAAAGCGUGGGGAGCAAACAGGAUUAGAUA